CUUGGUCAGGAAAAGAGGUCCUGGGUUUUUUUUUUCCAAGAACUGAGAUUGAGUAGAACAGCUGUGGGGACAGAGACCACAGAGCACACCUGUUGGGUGGUGUGGAAGGUGGGGGACACACUGUGGUCCAGGCAUGGGCCUCUGAAUAAUGCAGGACUUGGAUAUCAGGAGGGGAAAGGGGAAGUUCAUCAGGACAACUCUGGCUCAGUUAUGCUAGGGAAAAACAUGCUUAUCGUGAAGGAAGGUUGUGCAUGGCUGUUUGUGGUGCACAACUUCAGCAGAACAACACGGACUGAACAUUUCCUGCUCUGAAGAAACCUCUGUGUAGAUCCAGGUGUGACCAAGGGCCUAACCACAGCUGCUUUUUCCAAGCUUUAU
rnacentral:lncRNA from 1 species